rnacentral:misc_RNA from 1 species
GAUGAAGAACGUAGCGAAAUGCGAUACGUAAUGUGAAUUGCAGAUUUCAGUGAAUCAUCGAAUCUUUGAACGCACAUUGCGCCCGCUAGUAUUCUGGCGGGCAUGCCUGUUCGAGCGUCAUUUCAACCAUCAAGCCCCCGGCUUGCGUUGGAGCCCUGCGGCUGCCGCAGGCUCCCAAAUCCAGUGGCGGGCUCGUCGUCGUACCGAGUGCAGUAAACAUCCUCGCUCAGGGAACGUGACGGGUUCUUUCCGUUAAACCCCCCACAUAUCAAGGUUGACCUCGGAUCAGGUAGGAAUACCCGCUGAACUUAAGCAUAUCAAUAAGCGGAGGA